rnacentral:lncRNA from 1 species
CCCUGACCUACCCUGGUUUUGGUGAGUUUGUUCCUGGCAUCAAAGCCAUAGGUCACUGUGAGAAAAUAGACUUGGGGGAAAUUGAAUCCUACAAGUCUGAAAUUCCCACAAGUAAUCCCCUUGAGCUAUUAAACCAUUAUCCAAUUUAGCCAUUAAAAAACAGAUACAUGGUAUAAUUAAUUCUUUCUGUAAAAUCCAGGGUUUGGAAACAAGGACAGCCAGGAUCAUCAAUUUUAGGUAGAUUCAGCACUUAAUGAAGAACAAAAUAUUUGAUUCUGAAAAAGGAGUGUUAAAAUGCCGCCAGCAAUCUCCUGACCACGCUGAAAUUCGUACAACAUGAAAUACUGUCAUCCCUCACAUUGUAUUGAGCAGCUGGGAAUUUAUACGAAGCUGGGAAGGAACAGGGGAGGCACAGAAGGUUGUCAAGGUGACAGGCUCAUGAGAGACAGAAGGCAGCAUCUUCGUUGUAAGGAAGUAGUGGAAGAUUUAAUCUUGGAAGAGAAUGACAUUCCUGCCUUCAGACCACAGAGGAAUCAGAAAGAAUACAUUUCCAAGAAAAUUUCAAAUGAUGGAUAUGUGCCAGACUAGGAAUUUCCUUCUGAGGGCUUUGGUCGUCUUCAUGAUUUAGGUAGAUGGCAAAAUUAUUUACUGAAAGUAAGGAUGACAGGUGUGGGUUAGGAGCCUUGAGAUGCAUUUUCAAACAGUUGCUGUGGCAAGUGC